rnacentral:lncRNA from 1 species
CCACUCAAAACCCACAUACCUGCAAGGAACUAGCUGGGCCUGUGUCAAAUCUUUAAAUUAGGUAUUUCCCAGCAGAGAACAGCCACUCAGGAACUUCACCCAUUAAAAACAGGGGAGGUGAAAAAACUCUCCUGAUCCCUUUAAUUCCAAGAAGAGAGGAGAGGGGGAUUCUUCUUAUUUAACAUGCAACAUCAAAACCCAAAAAUAAAGUUAUUCCAUUCCUUCCUGUAGCAAACCACACAGAGCCUCAUUUAUCUCUUCUGGUGCCUUAUCCAGGCAACACUUUUAAACACAUUUGCUCUCUUUACAAGUAUUUACCUCUCUCGUUCCACACUGUCCUCUCACCAUAAAAAGUAAUUUUGAAGCAUCUUGGAGUCAGAACAUUUGGACAGUUCCCAGCACACAGCAGUGCCCAAACACCCUCUUAUCCAGCUCUGGGGCAGGUUUUAUUUCAUGAGAUGGUCAAGGAGAGCUGCAGGUUGUGCCUACACCCACACAGCAAGCUAACCUGAGCCUAUCCCAAACAGGAAAUGACAGCAUCAAAUCCUCCAGGCACAAUUUCAAGGGGGAGGAAGCAGGGAAUAAACUUCUGUAAAUUAAAUUAUUGUUCCUAUUUGAAAUGCCUGUCCUCACCUGCCUCCCCCAGCCACGGGCAGAUAAACAAGGAGCACAAAUCACCUGCUCUUCCCUGUGAGCACUGGGUGUCGAGGCAGAUGUGCACAGGUGUCACCAGGGCUGCUCAGGAUCCUCUCCGUUUUCAAAUAGCACAGCAAAGCUCAUGCCUCUCCUCUGUGCCUCCCAACAAAGCUGCUUUGUCUCCUUUGCACUUAACAAGACAAAGAAGAUGGUUAACAAGAACUUUUGCAGAUAUGUUUUAUUUUUAUUUUUAAGACCUUCGGAAGCCAACUCAUCUGCUCUCAUGGGCUUCUUGCUGAUAUGUCUCACUUUAUUAGUGACUUUGGCCUUGAGUGUCUCAGCUGUUUGAUCAAUACUGCAGGGGGUCAGUGAUAUUUUCUCACUUUUAGUGUCUCGCUGCCUUUAACUUUGUCACCUGAUGAACAGCACUACCCCUGGAACGCUUAUCUCGUAUCGAUUUUCUCCAGGCUCCUGCUGCAUUUCCAGCUGUCCCACCAUUUCCCUCCCUGUCACCACAUGCCCAUUUAAUGUUAACUUAUCCCCUUUCUCCUAGGCUUUUCAUUCUUACGGGGUCUUUCGCCUCCCCCCUCUUGCCCAACAGCAGAUUGUCAAAAAAACAAUUUCCUUUUUUCACCUGACUCAUUGUUAUCCUUCAGCCGUUCAUUGUUUGUCAGCCCGUGGCCGGGCUCACAGAGAGGGGCUGCCUUGAAGCAGAUGUUUGAACCCCCAGCCACACCACCCAGCCUGGGAUGGAGGGCUCACAUUAACCACAGAAAUUUGUCUCCCUCACCAAUAAAAGUUUUCCUCUCAGCCCCA